rfam:Toxocara canis scaffold436, whole genome shotgun sequence.
GGCCGCCUGGCGCAAUGGACAUCGCGUGGGUCCACGUAACCGAAGAUUGCAGGUUCGAAUCCUGCCGUGGUCG